AGGAACCAGGAGGCCCUUGCUCAUGUCUUAUAAACUAAAACAAAUUCCUGCAGGUUUAUGCAGAGAGGCCACCAGCUAGGUUAACAAAGCACAGCUGCUUCCCUCCCCUGUUCUAAUUCUGGGAUAAUGGCAGUCAGCUGUGCUCUUCCCAGGACCCUAAUCGGGGACAGCAGGGAGGGUUUCCUAUUCUGUUGCAAGUGACCACUUCUGAGGUCGAGAUGGGCGGACAAGUGCUAUGAAAACGUGUUCUGCUAGCUGGAGGGCUGUCUUCUGUUAAUUGGCAAGCAAGAGAUUGUAGCUCUCCUAUGGUAUCUCUCUCGUCUGGAUUAGUCACCCCAGCUGUUGUUAAGAACUGCAUAUGUUCCAGAAUUGACACUGAAUACCAAAUGGAGGAAGGACUUUUCAACUUGGGAUGUUUUUGCUUGAAGGUCAAAAUAUUCCAAGCAACCAUCCUUGAAUUUCAGUAUGCUGACGACUAAGCCAUCCUUGUACACACUGAGGAAAACAUCCAGACUUUGCCAGAUCUCUUGGCAGAACCCGACUGAACUUUGGUAAAGUGGUGAAACUAGGACUGUAGAUUCCUGAUUAAUACGAGAAGUAUGCUUGUUUCCCAAAGAUCACAGCUAUUGUAAGGGCUGUUUUUUCAUCGGGGCCUCACUUAAGGUAGGCUGAAGGAACUUGCACUUAUUUGUUUUCAUUUGGACCCCUGGGUAGUGGAAGCAGCCCUGGGUGGUGGUUGUUCCUUGGGCUAUGUGGAAAGAAGCCAACUUGCAAUUGCAUUAUUUUCCUCUGAUCAGGCCAACAGGAAGGUGAAACUGGAAUAUUUAUCUUUCCUCAUGGGGAACUUGUUUAAGAAGGUGACUGAUCUUAAACUCCUGGGGUUUAUUGUUGCCACAAUAGGCUUCCCUUUUAUUGAAAGAAUUAAAAAAAAAAAAGCUAGGUGCAGUGAGUGAACUGAUUAUACUUGCACGGUACAGUCCACCUGCCAGUAUACCCAUUCUUCCUCCAGAUUUGGUAAAUUGAGGGACCCCAGGUUACCCUUAAUGUAUUAUGGUCACCUGUUUUCAUCUCUGUAACCUCAGAGAACAUUUUUGACUUUAACUGGUUGAAUAACUGGUAGAAUGACCUGGGUGGGGAGGGUGCCUUGCAGCAUCUUGUCCAGAAAAAAAGCAGUAUAGUCGCGAUGUUCAGUUCAUGUACUACGUUAAAACAUAUAGAUGCCCCUUGUUAAAAUUGUUGCACCCACUUAUGUCUCAUUCUUUUGAAUGAGACUGAGAAGGCAUGAAAACACGGAUCAACACUAUAGUUAAUCUGAUACUAGGCUGAAUGGCUAUUUUUUUUUCUUCAUUAUUUAUUCUCUGCUGUGGAAAAAACUGUAUAAUUGAAAAGACCCACCUCUGUUCAAAAUGGUGCAUUUACCAGAUUUAAGAUAAAUAAAAGUCGAUGUGAUU